UGGGGAAUCUUGCGCAAUGGUCGAAAGACUGACGCAGCGACGCCGCGUGCGGGAUGAAGCCCUUCGGGGUGUAAACCGCUGUUACUCGGGACGAACUUCCCGUUUAGACGGGAUUGACGGUACCGGGGGAGGAAGCACCGGCUAACUCUGUGCCAGCAGCCGCGGUAAUACAGAGGGUGCGAGCGUUGUCCGGAAUCACUGGGCGUAAAGGGCGCGUAGGCGGCUUUUCAAGCGUGCGGUGAAAGCCCGGGGCUUAACUCCGGGUCUGCCGUGCGAACUGGGAGGCUUGAGUCUGGUAGAGGUCGAUGGAAUUCCGGGUGUAGCGGUGGAAUGCGUAGAGAUCCGGAAGAACACCGGUGGCGAAGGCGGUCGACUGGGCCAGUACUGACGCUGAGGCGCGACAGCGUGGGGAGCAAACAGG
rnacentral:rRNA from 1 species